UCUGAGAGUACAAUACGACGACGUUCAUUUGUCUCAGCUAAUACGAACAGGGAAUCACAUUCUACCAUAAGGGACAAUGAUCUUGAUCUAUUUGUUCGUGGUAUCUUACAAGUAACACCUAGAAUUGGCUAUAGAUUAGUACAAGAAUAUUUAUAUUUCUUUUGUAAACAUCCAGACGGCGAGAAAGAUAUUGGGCUGAAUCAGCAAUGUUUGUGGUUAACUUCCGUUUCCUGACUUCCUCUGUAUUUUAGUUCUUACUUCCGUUUCCUUUCGAUUUAUAUUUUUGACUUUUCGAUUUAUUUUUAUGAGUCGCGGCUUUGACUUAUCAUUUGGGAGUUUCGCUUUAUAAAUAGAAGUUUGGACUUGCGUUUAAUUUUCAUAUAUAUCCUUUGAGAUUUGAAAUGUAUUUUGCAUUUUU